GACUCUUUAGCUCAGUGGUUAGAGCAUACGAUUGCAGUUCUGUAAUAUCGUGUUGUCCCGUGUUCGACUCACGGAAGGGUCU